rnacentral:hammerhead_ribozyme from 17 species
AACUGGUUGGGAGCUAUUGCCACUCCCCUGAUGAGCCCAUGUCAAAGCAAAACCAGUG